rnacentral:rRNA from 1 species
UACGUAGGGUGCGAGCGUUAAUCGGAAUUACUGGGCGUAAAGCGUGCGCAGGCGGUUCGUUGUGUCGGCGGUGAAAGCCCCGGGCUCAACCUGGGAAUGGCAGUGGAUACUGGAGAGCUAGAGUGCGGUAGAGGGUAGUGGAAUUCCCGGUGUAGCAGUGAAAUGCGUAGAGAUCGGGAGGAACACCAGUGGCGAAAGCGGCUACCUGGACCAGCACUGACACUGAAGCACGAAAGCGUGGGGAGCAAACAGG